ensembl:lncRNA
CGGGACCGGCCGAGGGCGCCCGCGCAGCCCCCUGGCUCCUCCCCCGGGCUGGCAGAGCGGGCCCCGCCCCCUGGGCCAUCCAAUCCGCUGUCGGCUGGGCCGCGUGACGUCAUCCGGCCCCGCCCCGCCCUGCACGUCCGGCGUCUGCGGAUCCCUGGUACCGGGUUCUUCUCCGUUUUCUGCGGCGCUGCCCGCCCUGCCCUUUAGCCCGCGAUCGCGGGGAUCGGUUGAAUUUGGGACUCGGUGGGUGCGAAAGUGAGCGAGCGGGCUUUUUUUUUCUUCAGGUACUGCACAAAAAUCCUCAUCAAAACUGAGUUAAAAACAGCAACUCUUUGCCCUCAUAUUUCUGUCAGCUGCUCACCUGGGAGUGACUCUGGUCUCGCCUGCAAGCACUCAUCUGUUCAAGUCAUCUGUCAUGGGACAGCUUACCUGAGGCCAAACGUCUAAGAAGAUAGCAAAACAAGACAGAAAAACAACUCCGAAUGGCAGUUUUUGAACAAUUCACUGGAAGUUGUGGAACAGAAGGUAGUGAAUUUGGAUUAAUCAGUUACCAGUCCUGGAAGCCAGGGCAGGCUGAGCAAGUUCCACACAGCACAGCGGUCCGUUGUGGAUUACACUGACCCCAUCUGGGCUGCGGAAGCUCUGUCAUCCUCCCCAGCAACAAAGCGGCAGAACCCAGAAGGAUAAAAUCACAAUAAAAGGCCCUAGGCUGGGCUGUGACAUCUGUGACCUCCCCAGCUGGCUGAGCACAGCUUUCCAAGUGCUUUCUGUGGCCAAGGAAGAAGAAAACCCCGUGGGAUGUCAUCUAUGGCCACUGGAUGUGGGCCCUAACAGGAAGCUGGAAGCUCGGAACUGGGUCGCCACUCCUCUCCGUUAUUUCUGAGAACUCCUCGAACAAUCGCUGCAAACAGCUGUCUUGUCCAAUCAGGGCUCAUUCUCCUGGGAGGCCCCAAGCCUGAUGAGAAACUGAUGUUCAAAGAAGUUAAAAACAUCAUCUGAAGGAAGUGUUAACAAUUAGGUCUGUGUGACAGCAGAUACUUCCACAGCCUAAUUUCCUGGAUCUGGCUGUAUUUCAGGAUCACCUUGGGAACUGUUUUAAAAACAGCAAUUGGUCCUCAUACACAAGCAUUCCAAGUAACAGUUUACAAAACUCCAGCAAAUGAUUGCAAUGUGCUGCUGAAUUUGAGGAACAAGAAGUUAACCUAUCUGGCCUCAGUUUACUCAUCUGGAAAACAGCUGAUCUUGCUGCCUCACAAGAUGUCAUGAAGAUCAAACGCAGUUAGGAGCAAAGAACUCCAGGACAGAAGGGACUGCGCUUGGGGACAAGGAUUGAGGGUGACCGAAUAGGCCCGCCAGGAAGAACACACUCAGUUUCACAACCCAAACGCUCUGCUGUGACAUAGCCAUGACUCAUCGAUUCCAAGAUUUAACUAGGAUCUGAGUCCUUCCCCAAGGAAUCCACUCCUCACUUCAUUGUCCACAAAUCUCCCACAUCUCCCUUCUGCCAACACUGGGAACAAAGCACCUAUUUCACAUAAAAUGUGGAGAGGUUACACUGAAGACCUAGCCUUUUCCAGGAAAGACCAUUCGGUCAUUCACUCCUGACUUUAUUUCUCCACUGGCUUUUCUGUCGCAAUUGGUAAACUGUAGAAUUACUCUACAGAAUGUCAAGACACACACCAUUGCCUUCUUAUCUAAAAACAAAGAGGUAAUAAUAGCCCUCGAGUUGGACAGUCAGUUCAGGAAUCCCAGGCACUUGCAUUCUGGACGCCAUUAGGUAAACCAUUAUUGUCUCUCAAAUCAGUUUUCUCCUCUGUGAC